UACGUAGGGGGCAAGCGUUGUCCGGAUUUAUUGGGCGUAAAGCGCACGCAGGCGGUCUCUUAAGUUUCGAGUGACAGGUGGUGGCUCAACUGCCACAGGCCUUGGAAAACUGGGAGACUUGAGGACUUCAGAGGGAUGCGGAAUUCCAGGUGGAGCGGUGAAAUGCGUAGAGAUAGGGGAGAACACUCGUGGCGAAGGCGGCCAGCUAGACCAGUUCUGACACUGAGGCGCGACAGCGUGGGGAGCAAACAGG
rnacentral:rRNA from 1 species